rnacentral:rRNA from 1 species
UAAUUCCUACGGGACGCAGCAGUAAGGGAUAUUGGUCAAUGGGGGAAACCCUGAACCAGCAACGCCGCGUGAGGGAAGACGGUUUUCGGAUUGUAAACCUCUGUCCUCUGUGAAGAUGAUGACGGUAGCAGAGGAGGAAGCUCCGGCUAACUACGUGCCAGCAGCCGCGGUAAUACGUAGGGAGCGAGCGUUGUCCGGAUUUAUUGGGUGUAGAGGGCGUGUAGGCGGGAAAGCAAGUCAGAU